GUUUCUUGGUUUCUUUGUUUUAGUAUCAUCGUAAAUAUAUCUCUUUCUUUAAUAUCUAUCAUUGAUUAUAAAGUGUUUCUUUGUUUUAAUAUCAUCAUGAAUGUAUCUCUUUCUUUAAUAUCUAUCAUUGAUUAUAAAGUGUUUCUUUGUUUUAAUAUCAUCAUAAAUAGAUCUCAUUCUUUAAUAUCUAUUGAUUAUAAAGUGUUUCUUUGAUUUAAUAUCAUCAUAAAUGUAUCUCUUUCUCUAAUAUCUAUCAUUGAUUAUAAAGUGUUUCUUUGUGUUAGUAUCAUCAUAAAUAGAUCUCAUUCUUUAAUAUCUAUUAUUCAUUUUAAAGUGUUUCUUGUUUUAGUAUCAUCAUAUAUCUAUCCUUUUCUUGUAUGACUAUUAUUCAUUAUAAGAUUUAUCAUGUUGUUUAGACAUAAUCGGUAAGAAAGAUUACAGCACUUGUGAGUGAAAUGAUGUUGUCAUGCGCUUAUGACAAGGUGCAUGAUUGUAUUGUUGAUCUUACACUUUGUAGUGGUAUUGUUGUAUCGUUUAUCAUUAUAUGGGGUAUUUUACUUAUUAGUAUAAUUUGUGAAACAAGUAAGAACAACCUGAAAGCGUACGUGCCUGUGAGUAUCCCUUCUAUGCGAGGGGCCAAGUAAGGUUCACAGUGAGCUGAGGCAGGCCAGCUGCGGCGAUAAGAGAAAGGGGAGGGAACGGUGCAAGUUCUAAAUAAAAGGAGCGAGAGGACGAGGGGAUAACGGGCGAUCGCCCGACGGGGAAUCCCUGAAGAACAGCCCUGGGCCCUUUGCGAUCACUAUUCGGACUUAGGAAAAUUAGAGCACCCAAUCGCCGGACUUUCGGACUUAGAAAAAUGAGAACAUCUUCUCUCCAACACUCUACAGAUACCCACAGCCUUUACCUCCGAUCGCAAGGGGAGAUCUCUCCCAUAGCCCAAUCGGGCUGUGUAGGCAAUCUCUCCUUUCUUCAUGGAUGUCUGAGGAAAGUGUUGGACACAGCUGAGAAAAGUUUUGGACAUAGUGUAGAGAGGUGAAAACUCCGGGAUCUAAAUUAUUAUAGACCGAAUCAGCUCUAUAGACAAACCCAAUUUAUUAGGCACUAUAUUAUAGAAGAGAUUGAGUUUCCCUCUCUCGUCCACUGUCAACACCAAGAUACCACGGUUGCACACUCCUUAGCUAUGCGGAGCGUCCUUUAUCAGUUAGGGGCCACGGACCUGGGAUAAGGUAGUCUCAAUCGCUCCGUUUUCCACACAGCUGAGAAAAGUUUUGGACAUAGUGUAGAGAGGGGAAAACUGCUGAAUCAAAAUUAUUGUAGACAAAUCCACCAAGAUGUGUUCUAGAUGUAUUUUCUAUCACUUAAUUAGAAGUGUCACUGACGGCAUUUUAUUAGUCACUAUAUUACAUGUAUUAACAUGCUUUUUCGAUGACCUUUGCUGCUUGCUGCAAUGUCCCAGAUAUUAAUCCUGCAAAUAAAACUAUAUUCAAACCA